rnacentral:rRNA from 1 species
UGACAGAUUGAGAGCUCUUUCUUGAUUCUAUGGGGGGUGGUGCAUGGCCGUUCUUAGUUGGUGGAGAGAUUUGUCUGGUUAAUUCCGUUAACGAACGAGACCCCAGCCUGCUAAAUAAUCACGCGAAUGAUUCUUCAUUGGCGAUGGUUUCUUAGAGGGACAUGUUCGAACAACGAACAGGAGGAUUGGGGCAAUAACAGGUCUGUGAUGCCCUUAGAUGUUCUGAACCGCACGCGUGUUACACUGAUGCAUUCAACGAGCUAUUAACCUUGGCCGAGAGGCCUGGGAAAUCUUGGAACGUGCAUCGUGAUAGGGAUUGAUUAUUGUAAUUUUUAAUCAUGAACGAGGAAUUCCUAGUAAACGCAGAUCAUCAA